UACUCCGUCUUUUGUUAUUGUUUUGAUUGAGAGACCCCUAGCGGCUGAAAUUACAUAUUGUACAUUUAACAAAACUUGAAAUUUUAGUUCUUGAGGGUCAGUAAGUCACCUGUACUAUUACACAAUUUCAGUUCCCAACAUAACUGCAGUUUACAGUGCAUUGUGGGAAGCUUAAAAUUAGAUUAGUUAUAUAGGUUAGAUCCAGAUCUAGAUGUUCGUAGAAUUAAAUGAGAAGUAUGCAUAUUUAGGCUGUAUGAAAAUAAAAAAAAGUAAAUAAUAAAUGUUGCUCAUUUUGCAUAGUAUGAUCCUUAUAGCUCCAAACCAAAUGAGGUGAGUAAAGUUGAAGACUUUGUUCUGUUCUGACUGCUUUUCACUGUCAACUAUGAGGUGUUGUCAUAAAUUUUAGUAGAAGCCACAUUCCUUUGAGUUGUUCACUCUCCUCUUUUUUUAAUGCACACUAAGUGUCUGAAUUUGUCAGAAAAUGCUAUUAAAUGUGUAAAUUCUUGACUUGUCUAACCCAUGUUAACUUUUAUUGUGUUUUAGAACUAUUAGUUAUUUUUUAUAUUAUGAAAUUCAAACUGUGCUUCAAAAUUUGUUAAUUUUAAGUCACACAUAUUAUUGCAUUUGAUUUAUUAAAUAUUUACCAGUGUAAGUGUAUUAUUUAGCCAUGGUUUGAAGUUGGAAAUGAAGGUUUAUUGAUUUUAGUCUGUAUGUUUAUGUGGUUAAUCCAUAUUGCAACGUCAAAGUGUUUUCUCACUGGUUCUCAUGAUGUGUUAACAUUGACGACAGAAUGAGUGAGUAUUCAAUAUGCAGGCGCGUAAAAUCUUCAAAUAUUCAAAGUAUAGUCUUCAAAUAUUCAAUAGGAAUAAAAUUAUCCCCCUUUUAUUUGAGGAUCAGUUUUUCUCCCCACAUAAAGGAAUUAAUUAGUAAUGCGUUCCCUUGAAAGAGGACCAAGAAUCCUUUUUCAUUCAAAACACGCCUCCUAGACUAUAAAACCUUGACAACUCUGUGUCAGGGCUCUUCUUCUUCUUUUUGGCUUGCUCGCUGGCUUGCUGACCAUUUUUGUUUCUUCUGUUUUCUCUCAGCUGUGAUGGCUGUCCAUGCAUUUUGGGCGUUGUCCUUUUUACUCUGACUGAGAGCUGAAAGCUCCAGAAAAAAAGCAAAAGACUGCUAAGAUGCCUAAGCCACAAGCCAAGACACACCAGUUGCCAUUUGAAUAAUCUAUUAUUUUUGUUAUCUUCUAUUUUUAUCAUGUAGUUAAAUUUUUUUAAAGACUUUUCCAAGGACUCUUCUGAUUACCCAUUAGUGUAGAGCUCCUUGUAUCUAACUCUCCAGCCUGCCGCUGCCCUGAGAAUGGGACAUCUCCCUGCUGUGGUUGUCCACUACAUGGCCUCAGGUAGUGUGAGACUAGAUUCAUUCUCAUGAGAAGCAGUGAACCAUAGUUGUUUCACUGAACCUGCUGCAGCCUUCUCAUGUGGCUGUUACUCUGGUGACACCAGGAUCACUGAGUUUGUUCGCCUUGCUCUGUGCUUUCCAGGAAGUUUGCCCAUCAUCAAGCCUUUAUCACCACUGAAACAGUAGGAAAACCUUCUGUCUCACAGUGGAUACAAGAGUUAUUCAAAAAUUAAAUUUUUAUUGGCUGUAGUUGGAGUCUAGGUCCCUCAUUGCGUUUUUGACUGAUAACAUUCAUUCAUUCUGUUGGCAAUAACUUGUUAAUUUAAUUGACCUAUUCAUCAAUGCAUUCAUUCAUCCAUUGUGAUUACGUAUUUUGUUUAGUUUUCCCUCUUCACUCCUAUUCCCUGGUAGUUCAAUAAAUAUGUAAGUCAUUGUAUUUAUCUAUUCCUGUACAACAGAGAUGGAGGUCAAUGCAUUCACAGUUACAUUAAAAUAGAUAUUAUAAUAUUUAUUUUAUGUAUUGUUUUGUGUUUGAUCAGAAGAAAAGAGAAGGAAGACUACAAGGCGUAUCAUUGGCUGUACCAGCGUUUCAUUUUUAUAGACAUAAACUGCAGUGUCAGAUCAUGUACAGCACAAGAGGGCUUCAGGGGUUUUGGCUGACAGAUGGAAAAAGCAUGGAGAAGUUAUGAUCCUUUCUGAGAAGGUUUGCACAAGUCACAAAAGAGAUGACUCCUUCCCAUCAGCUUGACCUCGACUUCUUCAUUAUGGGAGGAGAAAAUCAGCUGAUUAGUUCUCACGCAACCUACAACACACUUGCAUCGCAAAUGCUUACCUACCGCCCAUGCUCCGUGAUCCACAUUCCUCGGCAACAUACCGCCCACGACUAGAUCCAGCAAUACCAACGUGAUAUCUCCUUCACCACCACAUCCACAUGGAACCCUUCUCCUCCAGACACCGCGCUUCUGAUCAGCUGGGAUCCAGACGCUCCACACGCAUCCAUGCAAUGGCCCACUCGGACGCAGCUCUUUUCCAAGCGAUUAACAUCUUCAACCGGAUGUUUGCUCACCUCCGGCGAGCUCUCAAGGAGACGGUCGUCCCACUCCUACGAAACGAUGAUAAAGACAAACUUUCCAACUCUAUGCAGACUCUACUUCCAUCAACUCUCUUGCUGGCAGCUCAAAUCCUCCCGCUCUUCCGGAUUCAUUGUCCGCCGCCGGGCCGACACGCACCGAUGAUGUCACAACGCCGCCUACUACAACAGAGCGCAGACUUCUUCAGCCCCGGCUGAAGGCCAGGCUGAACUCUGGAUACAAAUCCCGUUUCGCCGAACCGACAAUAAAGCCAGGUUCUUCCUGCUCCUUUCUGCCUCCACUUCCACCACCGCUCCGGACAGCCGCUCACUUCCACCCAACGCCACCCGUACGCUGCACGACAAUGACGUCAUGAUUCUCAGCUUGCAAAGGUUAUGCAAGCUGAGAAUUUCAGCUAUGAAAACAUAAGUAAGAAUAAUGGAGGAGAUCAUCAAGCCCACAAUGUGUGCUGACACCACAGAGCCCAGCCCCUCCACCUCAGGCACAUCUUCUGUGGCACCCUGUACCUCAACCUCUCCCAUGGCUACCCCUAGCCCUCCAACCCCUUCACCCAAAAAGAAGAGGAAGACAAUGAAGCUUGAUUUAAAUAUAACUUAUCACAUAGAAGUAUGGGGAAAUAACAUACAAAUACAAUUUUCAUUGUGGAGAGCCAUAAGAAUUGUAAAUAAACUGCUUACUAGGAACCAACAAAUUCACCGUUUGUCAAAUUUAAGACUCUAAAAUUCAAAGCUUUGGUCGGCUUUAAAAUGUUUCAGUUAAAAAUGAACUAUUACCUGAAAGUAUCAUAAAGUUGUUUGAAAGGUCAAGCCACGGAUGCAGCCUCUGUCUCACUUAGCCUGAAAGGGGUUGUUUUGUGUCUGCUCAAUGCCUUUCUCUUCUGAUUGGCUAAACUGUUUUCUGAGUGACGCAAGCCCACAGGUCAACCACAGGUAACAGAUUGUAGCACACGGAGAGCAGAGGAGAGGAGAGAAACUAGAGCCACCGUAAAUCACCUCAAAACAGAGAAGACACUCUCACACUGAGUUGAAAUGAAACAAGUGCACAUAAACUAGGUAAAUAACAUAAAUAAACAUUUUGUUUCUUUCAGGAGGGGCGAGCUGCACCUCCAAGGCAAUAGAGGCAAACGCUGAGCAUAUAGUUGUGAAAUCACAACCUUACAGAAGUCCAAAUGGCUCAUUCAAAGGCUUAGCUUCUGAGUACGGGCUGUGUGCAUUUCUGCAUGAACUGAGCAUUUUGAUACUUUCACAGUAUUUAUUUAAGACCUGGACUUGCUUUAUAAUCAAAACAGAAAUGGAAAUCUCCCUUCCUACAAUAUCUCCCCUUUAAAAUGAGAAAAGUUCAAUAUGAUUUGAGAAAAUGAGAGCAACAUUUGCAUGUAUGAACUGAUUGUGAGGACUAAUGCAAAGAAAUCACUGUAUUUAAGUCAAAGGGGUGAAUUUAUGGAACAGGUAUAGUGAGGAACAUUAGCAAAAUGUUUAAAAAUAAUUUACUGAACCAAUAUAAAAAUGAAUGAUCAGAAAGGAACAUUGGCACUCCUUUUUUUGUUCGAUGUUUCUUCUUGAAGCCAAAUAGGAUGUGUUGUAUAAAGGGUUGGAACAAUAUGAUGUAGUUUCAGUCUACACCUUUUUCAGACUGUAGGAAUCUUUGUCAUGUUAUUGUGUUGUUUCCAGCUGUGGUAUUUGAGUAACUGUAUUUUUAUGCAUGCGCACACACACACACACACACACACACACACACACACACACACAUAACCUAAUUGUCUCUGUUAUUGGUUGCAGGCUGAAAUAAAUUUCAAUUUCAAUAAUGUAUCCUGAUACAAAUCACAUGUUAAUGUGACCUUGUUUCCAUCAGGUAGAAAGGGAUGACCCUUUCUACUCUGACCCUGUCAACAUGAACAAUCUGAAAAUUCAUCUGUGAUUGCUUUGGUCUUGGACAGCCAGCUCCCAACAGUAUUUAGUCUAUGAAGCUGAUUUAAAAAAUACUAAAUCAGUUUGUACUUAUCUCUCAAAUAAUAUAUUAUGCAGGUUUUUGUGAGAGCUUCACUUCAGCAACAAAGAAAGUUCUCAUGAUGACACAUCUUGAAAGUCUUUUGGUUAGAAUCCCAGCUGUUUUUGACUCUGUUAAAAAGUUAAAACAAGAACAAUCUUGACAGCUGUCAAAUUUAAUUUCUUGAAAUGACAUUUCUGUAGAUGUCAGUGAUAAACAAAGAUUAUUUGGUAGCUUCCAGGGGAAUUUUGGUGCUUCAGUUGUGUAAGGAACGUAACAUGUACCAGUGGUACUGCAGGCGUCAAUCCAGCCCCGGCCCUUUGUCACAUGUCAUCCACGUCUCUGUUCUGUCCCGCUCCAUCAUAAACUACCCAACAAAAACAGCAGAAGUACUAGAAAGCAAUCUCAAUAAUGUGCACUUUGACUUGUACAGUGCAGUGAAUCAGUGCUAAUGCAGGGCUUUUCACUCUGUUUCCUGGACUAAUGCCACGACCCUGAGGUCACUGGGAAGUCGUCCAAGUAAAUCUCAUCUGCACAACUGCUUGUCUUUUUGAUUUUCUAAUAAACAGACAUGCCACCCCCA